AAGGGAGGAGAGAAUCCCAGGGCAGUGGGACCAGCCAGAAUUCUCCCCAGUGAUCGUGGGUGUGUGGAAGAAAUACAAGAGGGAAGGUCAUGAGCAACACGGCACCGGCACAUUGGAUCCAGAAUUGCUAAAGUGAAGUUUUGCUGUUCAACCAUUUCACGCACUCUGACAUGUGGAUUACAUUUGUAAUAUUUAAUCAUUUCCAAAAAGCCUACAGCCAACACCAAGCUUAUUAGUGAAAUGGAACCUGCAUUCUUUGGGCAAUGUUCAUCAAAAACAUUGUAUGAGAAACAUGAUGUGGCGCUAAAACACAGUGGAAUGGCUUAAGUGUUGGAAGCAGAAAGAAGAAGAAUGACUAAGUCCAGAGCCUUUGAGAAUUGUGUGUGUCUGUGUUUUAAGGAAAAAAAAUCCAAAGAGAACAAUAAAAUGUCUACGUAAAAGUUCAAUGCAUUGUGGACUUCUACCACUGCUGUGUGGAACACAAUUCACCUAUUUUUGGGCAGGGUAUAAUUAUUAGGACUUUAUUUCCUGAGCCAAAGGUCAUGCCACUCAACUCAUCUUAUCAAUGAGGAGACUGAGUCUCAGAGAAGGUAGAUCCCUUCCCCAAGGUCACACAGAUGACUCGGCAAAUCCAGGAGAUCAUUCCUGUUUGACUCCAACCUUUAUGAUCUUAAUCUGCUAAGUACAGUAUACCCUGUGUCCUUAUGAACAUAGAAAUAAACUUACGGAAAAAAAGAAACAUGAUACUUGAAUUUGACAUUGUCUUAGGAAAUAUGCUGCCUCUGGUUUUAUGAUGAAAGUCAACUGUUAAGAAAUAAGCUGAAAACUGAUGAUGGUUGAGUUUCUUUUGCUCUGAGGCUUGGUAAAACUCAUAAAAUAUAGUUGAUUCUCAGAAAAAUUUCCCCUGUAAGCAUUGAGCUGUAAAGAUGUUAAAAAUGUAUUAAAAUUCUGAGAUAAAUUAGCCACGGCUUUAUGACACGAUAAUGUUUUCAAAUGUCCGAAGUUUUUUGGAGGGCUUCACUCUUCGGUGGUAUUUCUUUAAAUACAAAGAAUUGCAUAGAGAGGCUUGAGAUAAGAAUUCCUACCUUAAGCUGCUUCCUUACCCUUUGUGCUUUGGUUUUGAGAGAUAUUUGGGGUCCACUGGCUUUGUUUUAUCAGUGACCUUGCAAAGACACUUAAGGUAAAAAUAAUGACAGAAUUGACUUAGAGUAUUUGAGGUUUAGGAGGUGGGGUUUGACAAAAACAUAGCCUAUUGGAGAGCAAAACUGGAUUGCUUCAGGA